GGGGCGUCCCUCCUCCUUUUACUUCGGACUUGGAGCUGCGGCGCUUCGGUCUUUGCUACUGGUGAAGCCAGGAUUCAAGCGCAAGAUGGGGGUACGCGACGUAGUUGAGGCCUUCCGCCCUUGGGAGCGACCUUGGAGAGUUCAGCCCAGAGUAAUAACUGUGAGAACCUUGUGUGUGGGGACCGAAGAUGGACGGCCUUUCACAUAGAGCUGGAGUCGGAAGUGGCGACUGGCCUGGAGCUCACGCACAAGGAGGAACAAUGGCGCUGUGUUUCAGUGAUUUAUCGCAUCCGUUACGAAAGGAAAUUCAAGUGAGGGUGCCCAUACACUGAGACAGUUGCUCCUGAGUUCCUGAGAUACUAAAACACUUGGGCAAUAGCAGGAUUCUAGAAAGAAAAGUUGGUAAAGAUAUCCAGACAAGACAAAUUGGAAAGAAAACUUAAAAUUUUGAAAAAUACAAGUAUUAAGUCUCUGCGUUUGUAAUACGUAAUUAUGAUUAAACUUAAUUUUGUGCCAA